rnacentral:rRNA from 1 species
CUUGGUCAUUUAGAGGAAGUAAAAGUCGUAACAAGGUUUCCUUCACCUAUUGAAGCCUUCAGCAGCGACUGUAAAGAAAUGCGUAGUUUGCUUGCAAGCAAUGCCACUCAAAUGCUGAGACAUAUGAAUCAGCAGCCUUUUAGGCUCACAGAUCAAAUUGUGGUAACCAUUCUUAUGGGCAAGAUAUGACCGGUCUUAACUAGAGUUAGUUAAGAAUCCACGUUCCGUAGGUGAACCUGCGGAAGGAUCAUUAAAGGUUUCGGGUACCCAGUGCCCAAACUUCAACCCUAUGUUUUAACUAUACAUGUUUCUUUGCCGGUUUCGGCCGGCAGAAGUUUUCUCAAACUCCACUAUAAAUGUGUCUUCUGAAUCAAAAUUAAAUAAAUUAAAACUUUCAACAACGGAUCUCUUGGUUCUGGCAUCGAUGAAGAACGCAGCGAAAUGCGAUAAGUAAUGUGAAUUGCAGAAUUCAGUGAAUCAUCGAAUCUUUGAACGCAUAUUGCGCCCUUUGGCAUUCCGAAGGGCAUACCUGUUCGAGCGUCAUUACACCCCUCAAAGAUAACUCUUUGGCGUUGGGCAAUGCCUAAAGGCAUGCCUCAAAAUCAGCGAUGGUGAUAUUCAACCACAGGCGCACAAAUGUCGUCUAGCUGGCGGGAUGUUGUCAGUCAAUUGAUGAAUUUCUAAAUGUUGACCUCGGAUCAGGUAGGAAUACCCGCUGAACUUAAGCAUAUCAAUAAGCGGAGGA